rnacentral:rRNA from 1 species
CGUUAGAUCACCGAAGUCAAGCAUCAUUGAGCGCCGGUCAGUACUUGGGUGGGUGACCACCUGGGAACACUGCGUGCCGUU